GAUGAAGAACGCAGCGAAAUGCGAUAAGUAGUGUGAAUUGCAGAAUUCAGUGAAUCAUCGAAUCUUUGAACGCACAUUGCGCCCUCUGGUAUUCCGGGGGGCAUGCCUGUUCGAGCGUCAUUAUAACCACUCAAGCUCUCGCUUGGUAUUGGGGUUCGCGGUUCCGCGGCCCCUAAAAUCAGUGGCGGUGCCUGUCGGCUCUACGCGUAGUAAUACUCCUCGCGUCUGGGUCCGGUAGGUCUACUUGCCAGCAACCCCCAAUUUUUACAGGUUGACCUCGGAUCAGGUAGGGAUACCCGCUGAACUUAAGCAUAUCAAUAAGCGGAGGA
rnacentral:misc_RNA from 1 species